CAGUAGCCGCGGUAAUACAGAGGGUGCGAGCGUUAAUCGGAUUUACUGGGCGUAAAGCGUGCGUAGGCGGCUUUUUAAGUCGGAUGUGAAAUCCCUGAGCUUAACUUAGGAAUUGCAUUCGAUACUGGGAAGCUAGAGUAUGGGAGAGGAUGGUAGAAUUCCAGGUGUAGCGGUGAAAUGCGUAGAGAUCUGGAGGAAUACCGAUGGCGAAGGCAGCCAUCUGGCCUAAUACUGACGCUGAGGUACGAAAGCAUGGGGAGCAAACAGGAUUAGAUACCCCAGUAGUCCCUGUCUCUAUACC
rnacentral:rRNA from 1 species